AAUAUUGGACAAUGGGCGCAAGCCUGAUCCAGCCAUGCCGCGUGUGUGAUGAAGGUCUUCUGAUUGUAAAGCACUGUAAUUUGGGAGGAAGGGCAUUUAACGAAUACUUAACUGUUUUGACGUUACCAAUAGAAUAAGCACCGGCUAACUUCGUGCCAUCCGCCGCGGUACUACGAAGGGUGGAAGUGUUGAUCGGAAUUACUGGGAGUAAAGAGAGCGUAGGUAGUUCGUUAAGUUAGAAGUGACAGCCCCGGGCUCAACCUGGGAAUUGCUUUCAAAACUGGCGAGCUAGAGUACGGUAGAGGGUGGUGGAAUUUCCUGUGUAGCGGUGAAAUGCGUAGAUAUAGGAAGGAACAUCAGUGGCGAAGGCGACCACCUGGACUGAUACUGACACUGAGGUGCGAAAGCGUGGGGAGCAAACAGG
rnacentral:rRNA from 1 species